GCUCAGCCUUUCAUUUUUAGUCAUUGCCUUCCUUUUCUUCUCUAUCUCGCCCAUUGACUUUUCAGGAUAAUUUGUGGAAUUUGUCACCACAAGAUGUGGUUGCUGCCUCUACCUUUGACAGCUUUAAGAGAGAAUUAGACAAAUACACGGCCCGUCUAUCAGCUCAGCAAGUAGUCAGGAUGGCUGCAUGUACCUUCUGGUUUCUGCAGCCUAUGUUUCUAAACACCACUUGCUAGGGAACAUGCCCUGCUUGUGGGCUUUCCACUUGUAUCGAAAUGGCAGUGGUCACUGUGGGAAAGAGGAUGCUGGACUCAAUGGGCCUUUGGCCCGUCGCAGCAGUGCUCUUCUUUCUCCUGCUUUUGCUUCCGUAAGCUUCUUUCUUAUGCUUUUUUCUUCCUUCAGCCAUCUCCAACAGUCACAACUGCCGUUCUCUUUAAAAGGGUUCAACAUUCCUCCUCUGUGUCUGGCGUGCCCUCCUCUAAGUCAGGGAAAAGUUCCUGCUGUGUCAUCACCCUGACCAGGGCAUUGCAACUGGCCUCAAGCACAUGAACUGGUGCUGUGUUUUUACCAUGAUUCACCAUAUAAGCAGCAAACUAAAAAGAAUGAAGCUCAAGGAAUACAACAUAUGUUUUCCAUUUCCCAUGGAAAACUAUUUCUCCAUCUGAUUUAUUACCCACCUGAACAAAAUUAUGUUUUUA